rnacentral:tRNA from 1 species
GGGGGCGUAGUUUAAAUAAGGUAAAACGUCUAUCUUGCACAUAGUUAUCGCAGGUUCGAGUCCUACCGCCUCCA